AUGAAAAUCAUAGCUUGGAACUGCCGGGGGCUUGGGAACGCCCCGGCGGUUCGAGCUUUGCUGGAUGUCCAGCAAAGAUACCUCCUCGAUGUGAUGUUCUUGUCGGAGACUCACCUCGAUAGCUAUCCGGCUGAGGGUUUACGAAGAAGACUGAAAAUGGAUCAGAAAUUCGUCUGCAUGAGUGAUGGAAGGAAAGGAGGUUUGAUCCUCUUCUGGAAUAAUAAUGUGAAGGUCCAUAAACUGGCCCUUGAUGCGAUGUUUAUUGAUGUAAGGAUUGAGGACAGCAAUAAUUUGUCAUGGAGACUGACUAGUAUGUAUGGAGAGUUUAAGUGGGCAAACAAACAUCUAACAUGGAGUCGGAUGAGACAGCUCCAUCAAAAUAAUAACCUCCCCUGGCUCUUGAUAGGUGAUCUCAAUGAGAUUCAGUUUGUGCAUGAAAAGAAGGGGGUAACCCUUGUCCUAUGCAAUAUAUGCAAGCUUUCCAGAAUGCUAUAG
rnacentral:rRNA from 1 species